CGGAGAAGGAGCCUGAGAAACGGCUACUACAUCUAAGGAAGGCAGCAGGCGCGUAAAUUACCCAAUCCUAAAUCAGGGAGGUAGUGACAAGAUAUAACAACGCGAUUAAAUAUCGCGAUUGUAGUGAGGGUAUUCUAAAAAUAGCUUCGAGUACGAUUGGAGGGCAAGUCUGGUGCCAGCAGCCGCGGUAAUUCCAGCUCCAAUAGCGUAUAUUAAAGUUGUUGCAGUUAAAAAGCUCGUAGUUGGAUUUCAAGAAACGCAUCUGGGCAACCAGUUUGCUUUCUACCAGUCUUUGACUGUUACUGUGAGAAAAUUAGAGUGUUUCAAGCAGGCAAUUGCAGGAAUACAUUAGCAUGGAAUAACGAAUGUAUCUACAAUUUGGUUGAUUGUAGAAUACGAUUAAUAGGACAGUUGGGGGCAUUAGUAUUUAAUUGUCAGAGGU
rnacentral:rRNA from 1 species